UACGUAGGAGGCAAGCGUCGUCCGGAAUUACUGGGCGUAAAGCGCGUGUAGGUGGUGGGACAAGUCUGCUGUGAAAGCGCCUGGCUUAACCGGGCGAGGUCGGCGGAAACUGUCGCACUCGAGGACGGUAGAGGGGGGUGGAAUUCCCGGUGUAGUGGUGAAAUGCGUAGAGAUCGGGAGGAACACCUGUGGCGAAGGCGGCCCCCUGGGCCGGCCCUGACACUGAGACGCGAAGGCGUGGGGAGCGAACGGG
rnacentral:rRNA from 1 species